CAAUAACAAACUGAAUUCAGCUGAAAUUGCCUGACUGCCCGCGCAGUUAUAAAUAAUCUGUUUUGAGUUGUAGGAGUUGUAUCUAGUAAGGUUGUUGUAUCGCGACGCAAACUCCUUAGCCAUCGCAUUUUUGUGUUUAAGUUCCUUGAAAAUCUCCCAGAAUGACGACUGCUGAAAAAGAUCCACAAAUCGUGGAGUGGAUCAAUCUACUCGAUGAAAGAAAGACGUUUUACAAGAUGGAAAGCAAGUCUAAUCUGCCCCUCAUAGAUCUUCCAAGAGUGCGAGACAACUUUACAAAAGAAGAAUUUGCCUUCUUCAAUGGCAGACCAAAUUAUGACGCUCUGGCUGAAAAAGCUCUCACUUUGCAGAGAGAAUUUACUAUAUUGCAGUCUGUAUUGAAAGAAGGAAACGCUCUCAUUCGCAGUAAAUAUUCUUAUCUCAAUGAUAAGGCAAAGGCUAGAAUUGACAAGAUUGUCAACGAAUGAAGUCCUGGUGACCAAAGUUCAACAGCUGCAAUGCUCCCAAAGUGCUCACUAUUCAGGAAAUAAGGUUCAUAUUUUUUGAGAAUGUUGAUCUGAUUUGAAUAAAACCUCUGAAAUAAGAGUUUCACAUA